rnacentral:tRNA from 2 species
CGGGAGAUGGCUGAGUGGUUGAAAGCUGCGGUCUUGAAAACCGUUGAGGGUCAUACCUCCGGGGGUUCGAAUCCCUCUCUCCCGGCCA